rnacentral:rRNA from 1 species
GACGAACGCUGGCGGCGCGCCUAACACAUGCAAGUCGAACGAGAGAUGAAGAGCUUGCUCUUCAGAUCGAGUGGCGAACGGGUGAGUAACGCGUGAGGAACCUGCCUCAAAGAGGGGGACAACAGUUGGAAACGACUGCUAAUACCGCAUAAGCCCACGGCUCGGCAUCGAGCAGAGGGAAAAGGAGCAAUCCGCUUUGAGAUGGCCUCGCGUCCGAUUAGCUAGUUGGUGAGGUAACGGCCCACCAAGGCGACGAUCGGUAGCCGGACUGAGAGGUCGAACGGCCACAUUGGGACUGAGACACGGCCCAGACUCCUACGGGAGGCAGCAGUGGGGAAUAUUGCACAAUGGGGGAAACCCUGAUGCAGCGACGCCGCGUGGAGGAAGAAGGUCUUCGGAUUGUAAACUCCUGUUGUUGAGGAAGAUAAUGACGGUACUCAACAAGGAAGUGACGGCUAACUACGUGCCAGCAGCCGCCGUAA